GGUUGUGGCUUAGCGGUAGAGUGCUUGCCUUGCGUGUGUGAGGCACUGGGUUUAAUCCUCAGCACCA
rnacentral:tRNA from 1 species